GAUGAAGAACGUAGUGAAAUGCGAUAAGUAAUGCGAAUUGCAGAAUCCGUGAGUCAUCGAAUCUUUGAACGCAUAUUGCGCCCUUUGGCAUUCCGAAGGGCAUGCCUGUUCGAGCGUCAUUAUCACCCCUCAAGCCCCGGCUUGGUGUUGGGCCCCCGGUGGUCGUACCCGACCACCCGCCUCAAAGAUAGUGACGGCGUCCCAGAGGGAACCGGUACGAGGAGCUUUCACGAGCAUGUACGCGGGGACGACUCUGUGGGCGACGGUCUUUUUUAACCUUAAUAUAUCAAGUGUUGACCUCGGAUCAGGUAGGAAUACCCGCUGAACUUAAGCGUAUCAAUAAGCGGAGGA
rnacentral:misc_RNA from 1 species